rnacentral:misc_RNA from 1 species
UAACUGCGUGCAGACGUGUGAACUGCAGGACACAUGAACACCGACGUUUUGAACGCAAAUGGCGGCUUGAAGUAAUGCUCAAGCCACGUCUGGCUGAGGGUCGGAUAUAACAUCAAAGCUACAAAUGCUUAGUAAAUUAACUCCUUUGUAAAAGAAAGAGUUUCUGACUAAGUUUGAUCGUCAAGUUCUGUGGAGCUUGAUUAGAAUAAAGCAUGUCUUGAUUUGCCAAGUUUGGUCUGUAUGUAAGAGAGCAAGCAGCAAAUUCAUGUAAUAAGAGUUGAAUUUGUGAAAAGAAGGCCUUGACAUGUUUAGUAAUUAUUUACAUGUAAAAAGUGUAAAUGAAAUACUCAAAGAUACGACCUCAGAGUAGGCGAGAUUACCCGCUAAAUUUAA